AUAAAGCUAAGUGACAGGUUAAAUGCUUUAAAGAAAAAAAAAAAAGAGUCUAAAGGCAAAACAGAAAUGAAAAGGCAAGCCCUAGAGGAGCAACCGAACAGCUUCCGUCUACUACUUUUAAUUUCCCCCUAUGUCUUGUUGAACCAAAGAACAUACAGCAGCCAACAAAACCUAAACUUUCAACUUCUUUUGAUCUGAAAAUUUUGGGUGAGAUGAGGUUGAGAAUCAGUAGAAUAGCAAGGUGUGGGUCAAGAUGUAUGCUCAUACCCUGAAUCCUUUACAUUGCUUCGCACUGAUCUCAGUCCGGCGGACAACACCAGUCACAACUACCUCUUCAUUCCAAUGAUACAGCUCAAACUCUCUUGUGCCACUUUAUUUUUGUUCUGUGAACAUGCAACAAUGUGCAGGCAUUUGUUAAAACUUGUUGCUAAAAAAUAUAAAUUUUUUUUAUAAAUUUAUAUUCAUAAUAGAUCUAGACAUCCACAUGUCUAGUUUCAUUCUACACCUGUAGUUUUUUUAUUUUUGAAUUUAUAUUUCUAUUUUUAUAACGUUUUACAAAUUUUUUAUUUUUAUUUUUAUUUUUACUGGCUGCUCAAUGACAGAAAUAGUCGGUCAAUGUACUUAAUUGAUGAGAAUUUUAUCGUUGGGAUUUAAAUGAUAAAAAAGAUGUUCAACUUUGAAGCUGAGAACUUCUGCAAGGUUUACCUCGCCACACACAGCAUUCACUCCGUGCUCAUCCCAGCUACUGCUAUAGGCUGUCCAUUGACGCCUGCAACAACCACCCUUAGAAAUUGUAAUGGUCAGUGUUGGCAAGUGGACUUGGUCAAAUGUGAUAAUAAGAUGUAUUUUCGUAAGGGCUGGAGAAGAUUCAUCGAUGAAAACUCUGUAGUGAAUGAGAAUUUUUUAAUUUUCAAUUAUUUCGGUGGUUGUGUGUUCGAUGUGAAGGGUUUGAUGCUUGUGAGAAGAGCAUACCAUGUGUGGUGUCGGAAGAAGAAGAAGAAGAAUCGGAAUCGGAAUCAGAAUCAGAAGAUGAUGAUAGUGAUGAUGCUAAUGAUGAAGGAGCUGACUCUACGGAGGUUGAGGAUGAGGAGAUCCAUCCAGAAGAUUAUGUUCAACAUUUGAAUCCUUAUUUUGUGGUGAAGACCACCAAGUCUUCACAGAGGACGAACGAACUGUAUAUUCCAACUGGUAUAGCCAAAGAUUUUGGAGUGAGUUUAGAAGACGGGGAGAAAAUUACAUUUGUUGACCCAUACAACCGGAAAAGCAUUGGGAAGGUUGUGGAAUGGAAGGACCAACGAACAUGCAUAAAGGGGUUGUGAAGUGUGUUGAUUCGAAACAAAGUCAAUCUGGAGCGUGACACCUGCAUUUAUGAAUUCCUGAUCGAAAACGGACAACAAGCUGAAAUGGGUGUGCAAACUAAGUCCAUCCAAGUUCAUGUUUAUUUGUCGCAGGAAACCUUCCGAGUCGGGGAUAAAGGCUAGCAAGAAGCAAAAGCAAAAGUGAAAACAUAUUUAGACAUGGGUAGAUUUAUUAGGACAUGGUUUGUAGUUGAGGUGUAAAGGUUUAAUGCUUUCGAAAAUGAAUAUUUAGGAUUGCCCUCUAUUUUACUUGCAGUGUAGUUUUGUCAAUUAUUCAGGAUUGCAGCAAUCAUAUAUAUGUAUAUAUAUUGUUUCACUGGAAA